AAAGUCGUAACAAGGUUUCCGUAGGUGAACCUGCGGAAGGAUCAUUAUUAUUUGGGUCGGGUUUACUUCUAAGAUCUUUGUUCAGUCCUGUCCUAAAAUAUUUAAGAAGUAAACUUUUACCAAAUAAAUAUUCUAUAUUUCUCCUAUAAGGAGCAAGAUAAACAUAUUUAAAACCCACACUUUGAAUGCAUAUUUUUUGUAUUUUUCAAUGAUAAUAAAAGAUCACUUUCAACAACGGAUCUCUUGGCUCUC
rnacentral:misc_RNA from 1 species